rnacentral:rRNA from 1 species
AUUGAACGCUGGCGGCAUGCCUUACACAUGCAAGUCGAACGGCAGCACGGGUGCUUGCACCUGGUGGCGAGUGGCGAACGGGUGAGUAAUACAUCGGAACGUACCUUAUCGUGGGGGAUAACGCAGCGAAAGCUGUGCUAAUACCGCAUACGCCCUGAGGGGGAAAGCGGGGGAUCGCAAGACCUCGCGCGAUUAGAGCGGCCGAUGCCUGAUUAGCUUGUUGGUGGGGUAAAAGCCCACCAAGGCGACGAUCAGUAGCUGGUCUGAGAGGACGAUCAGCCACACUGGGAAUGAGACACGGCCCAGACUCCUACGGGAGGCAGCAGUGGGGAAUUUUGGACAAUGGGGGCAACCCUGAUCCAGGAAUGCCGCGUGAGUGAAGAAGGCCUUCGGGUUGUAAAGCUCUUUUGUCAGGGAAGAAACACCGGCUCUAACACAGUCCGGGAAUGACGGUACCUGAAGAAUAAGCACCGGCUAACUACGUGCCAGCCGCCGCCGUAA